ensembl:lncRNA
UGCACUAAUUUGAAAGCAGCUUUUUUUUUUUUUUUUUCAGAAAAUCCAGAGUAGUUUGGUAAACAUGUGAUGGUGGUGUUUUACCCUCCACUUAGAGCAUCACUCCUGUCCCUUCUGGAGAUCGGUGGCCAUACUUGAGCGCUGAAUUUAUCAGCUUCUUACUGAGUGCAGAUGUGCUGACUAUCGCAAGCAUUGACAGACUGCUCUCAGCCCUAGUCAGCACCUUUUGCGAUAUGAGGCAUCGCAGGGGCAGGAACAAAGCGGGAGC